ACUAUGGCAUGGACCCUCAUCCUCGAGCCCCACUACUCAGAGGAGCUGGGAAGAAUUUCCACCCUUCCUAGUGGCAAGUCUCACUGUGAGAGCGGAGUGCCACCAGGCAAACAGGGCAGAAAGACUGCUUUAAGGAGAAUCCUUAUAUUGGGGGUUAUGAAGUGCAAUACACCCUCAUCCUCACGCUAACACUGGUACCAUGUAGCCCAAGCUUGUCUAACCUGCAGCCCGCGGGCUGUGUAUGGCCCAGGACAGCUCUGAAUGUGGCCCAACGCAAAUUUGUAAACUUUCUAAAACAUUAUGAGAUUUUUUUUUCUCAUCAGCUAUCAUCAGUGUGAGUGUAUGUUAUUUGUGACUCAAGACAAUCCUUCUUUUCCAAUGUGGCCCAGAGAAGCCAAAAGACUGGACACCCCUGAUGUGGCCCUUUCAUCCAUAGUAGCCUAUUUUGUCCUAAAGACGGUCUUGUGCAGUGAGUAGGCCAGGCCUCCCCACUACCACAGUUUACAGGCAAGGAAUGUGAUAUUUCAUAGGAUGACCCUGACUGGCACCUACAUUGCUAGCCAAAGAAUGGCACAAAGAUGUGGACAGAAGAGACAACCUUAAGCAGCUGACUGCUGGCUCCUGCAACAGUAUCAUCAUGGCAUUUGUCCUGGGGUCCCAAGGAAAGAAAACAAAUCUGUGGCUGAGGAACAGACUGAGUUGACAAAGCAGCUUCCACAGUAACACAAGGACAAAGGGUGUAUGUAGAUAUGCACGUGGUAGCAGGUUCUACUAAAGGAACCUGGACCGACCAUUCUCACUCACAUUCUUUGGGAGCUGUAUUCUAAUACUUUCAGAAAAGCCAUGGGAACACACCAGAGUGACUGCUCGAGUAAAUAAGUAGCAUAAACAGCAAGCCAAACCAUUGAUGUACACAUCACUGGGCCCAAUACUAUGAAAUCCCACAUAAGAAACUUGAAAGUGAAAGCUGGAAUUCUGAGGAUACUGGUUUUGCUUAAUAAACAGCAUUUCAACAGGUGAGUCAACUUAGUA
rnacentral:lncRNA from 10 species